AGGAAAUAGAACCCGGGUAGUCCUGGCAGUAAACGGUGCGCGUUUGGUGUGGGAGGAUUCGACCCCUUCUGUGCCGGAGCUAAACGCGUUAAAAACGCGCCGCCUGGGGAGUACGGUCGCAAGAUUAAAACUCAAAGAAAUUGACGGGGCCCGGCACAAGCGGUGGAGUAUGUGGCUUAAUUCGAUGCAACGCGAAGAACCUUACCUAGCCUUGACAUGCAUCUCUAAAGUCGGUGAAAGCCGGCGAGUGUAGCAAUACACAAUUUGCACAGGUGCUGCAUGGCUGUCGUCAGCUCGUGUCGUGAGAUGUUGGGUUAAAGUCCCGCAACGAGCGCAACCCCUGUGAACUGUUGCCACC
rnacentral:rRNA from 1 species